rnacentral:rRNA from 1 species
GUAUGCCUAACACAUGCAAGUCGAACGAAGUCUUCGGACUUAGUGGCGGACGGGUGAGUAACGCGUGAGAAUCUGCCUUGAGGAUGGGGACAACAGUUGGAAACGACUGCUAAUACCCGAUGUGCCGGAAGGUGAAAAUUUUUUGCCUCAAGAGGAGCUCGCGUCUGAUUAGCUAGUUGGUGGGGUAAAAGCGUACCAAGGCAACGAUCAGUAGCUGGUCUGAGAGGAUGAGCAGCCACACUGGGACUGAGACACGGCCCAGACUCCUACGGGAGGCAGCAGUGGGGAAUUUUCCGCAAUGGGCGAAAGCCUGACGGAGCAAUACCGCGUGAGGGAGGAAGGCCUUUGGGUUGUAAACCUCUUUUCUCAGGGAAGAAGAUCUGACGGUACCUGAGGAAUAAGCAUCGGCUAACCCCGUGCCAGCAGCCGCGGUAAUACGGAGGAUGCAAGCGUUAUCCGGAAUUAUUGGGCGUAAAGCGUCCGCAGGUGGUCUUUCAAGUCUGCUGUCAAAGACCAGAGCUUAACUCUGGGCAGGCGGUGGAAACUGAGAGACUAGAGUUCGGUAGGGGUAGCGGGAAUUCCCAGUGUAGCGGUGAAAUGCGUAGAUAUUGGGAAGAACAUCGGUGGCGAAGGCGCGCUACUGGACCGAAACUGACACUCAGGGACGAAAGCUAGGGUAGCGAAAGGGAUUAGAUACCCCUGUAGUCCUAGCUGUAAACGAUGGAAACUAGGUGUGGCUUGUAUCGACCCGAGCCGUGCCGUAGCCAACGCGUUAAGUUUCCCGCCUGGGGAGUACGCACGCAAGUGUGAAACUCAAAGGAAUUGACGGGGGCCCGCACAAGCGGUGGAGUAUGUGGUUUAAUUCGAUGCAACGCGAAGAACCUUACCAGGGCUUGACAUGUCCGGAACUUUUCUGAAAGGAGAAGGUGCCUUCGGGAACCGGAACACAGGUGGUGCAUGGCUGUCGUCAGCUCGUGUCGUGAGAUGUUGGGUUAAGUCCCGCAACGAGCGCAACCCUCGUCUUUAGUUGCCAGCAUUAAGGUGGGCACUCUAGAGAGACUGCCGGUGACAAACCGGAGGAAGGUGAGGAUGACGUCAAGUCAGCAUGCCCCUUACGCCCUGGGCUACACACGUACUACAAUGGUUGGGACAAAGGGCAGCGAACCCGCGAGGGAGAGCGAAUCUCAUCAAACCCAGCCUCAGUUCAGAUUGCUCUCUGCAACUCGAGAGCAUGAAGGAGGAAUCGCUAGUAAUCGCAGGUCAGCAUACUGCGGUGAAUUCGUUCCCGGGCCUUGUACACACCGCCCGUCACACCAUGGAAGCUGGUCACGCCCGAAGUAGUUACCCUAACUUUCGAGAGGGGGACUCCUAAGGCAGGGCUAGUGACUGGGGUGAAGUCGUAACAAGGU